GGGACAUGGGGAGGCGGGUGGGAGGAGGUGUGUCCAAGUCCCUCCUACCUACCUGCCUGAAACCAGCUGUGGUAGAUGAGGCCAUAGAGAAGCUGCUGGAACAAGGACCUGCCGAGUGGGAGUGGCCAAGCACAGGACCCUCUCGAGCCCCAUGGAUGUCGCGUGGAGCCAGGCCCGGCAGCCACCACAGAGCUGGAAACCGCCACCUCUGAGGUGCACACCACUCACGUUCCGUCGGGAGAAGAAAGCCCCCGAAAUGUCAGCGGCAGAUGAAGGGCGCUGGAAAAUUUAAUCUCCCAACUUUCCCAACUAAUGUGACAUUUGGAUUCCGUUCUGAUAAGCUAUCAGCUGCGAACUUUUUUCCUUCCUUCUCUUUCCCCCACCCCCACCUUCUGGCUGGUAAUUUAAAAGUAAAUGGUCUAGAAAGAUCUCUAACUGUACCUCUGGCAAAGAUUAAAAAAACAA